UACCAGCACCCCGAGUGGUCGGGACGUUUAUUGGGCCUAAAGCAUCCGUAGCCGGUUCUACAAGUCUUCCGUUAAAUCCAGCUGCUUAACAGAUGGGCUGCGGAAGAUACUAUGGAGCUAGGAGGCGGGAGAGGCAAGCGGUACUCGAUGGGUAGGGGUAAAAUCCGUUGAUCCAUUGGAAGACCACCAGUGGCGAAGGCGGCUUG
rnacentral:rRNA from 1 species